GGCCGGUUAGGUCAGUCGGUUAGAGCGUGGUGCUGACAACACCAAGGUCGUGGAUUCAAUUCCCGUUUGGUCCC
rnacentral:tRNA from 1 species